CACAGUCAUUAUAUUGUCAGUAAUCUUACUAUGAGAUGUGGAGGAUAUAUUUUUAGAAACUUCAUAAUAAUUUAAUCAAGAAUCAGAACUUAAAGUUUAAUGGAUGUCUUAUUUAUUAUAUUACAGUAUUGUCUUAAGACUGAUAAUAACUUUUAUAUUUUUAGUGCCUUCCAUUUUGGCCUGAAAAUCUGUCAGGCAAACUUUGUGUAAGAGUGGUGGGCUGUGAAGGAUCUUCCAAACCAUUCUUUUAUAACCGACAGGAUAAUGGCACUUUAUUGAGCUUAGAAGAUCUGGAUGGGGGUAUCUUGGUGGAUAUAAACACUGCUGAACAUUCAACUGUCAUAACUUUUUCUGAUUACCAUGAGGGAUCUGCACCUGCCUUGAUAAUGAACCAUACACCAUGGGACAUCCUCACAUACAAACAGAGGUAUGAGAAAAAAGGGGUAAAUGGGAAAUACUUAUAUUGGUCCACAGUAACUUCUGGGAAACACUUUGGUUUCAUGUUCAAAAUGUUUUUAGAUUUUAGAAAGGUGAUAUGGAACACAUGGUGUUUGAAUACCCUUAGCAUGUUUUGAGAUAACACUCUGUAAACACGUUAAUAUUUCUGCAGCAAAAAUGAUGAAUAUUCACAUGAAAUAGGAUAAAUAGAAACUAUUAAUAGUUUCAUAUCAAUUCAGGUCAGGUUUUGCUGCCAAAUAAGUUUUGACACCAAAUUUCCAGAAAAAUGCUUGGACUUUUAAAGCUUUUAAGAUAUCAGAAUGGCAGGUAAAGGAGUGAACCUGUUUAAGUAUUACCUUUCCUCUGUAAUCUGGUAGUGCUCAGUGAACUUCUUCCUAUAAAUCUACAUCUAGUCUUUUUGGGUAGAGGUAGUAGAAGGUUACAUGAGGAGACGAUGAGUAGAUAGUGGUGUUGAAUGUGUAGCAUUGGCUGAUAGGAAUUUCGUUAUUCUUGCAUUUGCUGUCAUUUGGUUUGGAUGAUGCCGUUAUUUAAUGGUAGAGAAUUUAAG
rnacentral:lncRNA from 1 species